rnacentral:rRNA from 1 species
AUGAACGCUAGCGGGCGGCCUAACACAUGCAAGCCGAGCGGUAUUGUUUCUUCGGAAAUGAGAGAGCGGCGUACGGGUGCGUAACACGUGUGCAACCUGCCUUUAUCUGGGGGAUAGCCUUUCGAAAGGAAGAUUAAUACUCCAUAAUAUAUUGAACGGCAUCGUUUAAUAUUGAAAGCUCCGGCGGAUAGAGAUGGGCACGCGCAAGAUUAGCUAGUUGGUGAGGUAACGGCUCACCAAGGCGAUGAUCUUUAGGGGGCCUGAGAGGGUGAUCCCCCACACUGGUACUGAGACACGGACCAGACUCCUACGGGAGGCAGCAGUGAGGAAUAUUGGUCAAUGGGUGCAAGCCUGAACCAGCCAUCCCGUGUGAAGGACGACUGCCCUAUGGGUUGUAAACUUCUUUUGGAUAGGGAUAAACCUACCCUCGAGAGGGUAGCUGAAGGUACUAUACGAAUAAGCACCGGCUAACUCCGUG